UCUUCCUUGUUCCUCCCAUU
rnacentral:miRNA from 1 species